GCUUCCCCAGGUCGCGGCGGCGGGAGCAACAAGCAGCGGCUCGUGAGUCCGCGGCUCGCACCCAGGGGCGCCCGCACGUGCGGCUAGAACGUCCGAGUCGGGGUCCGGGGCGGGGGGCGCAGGCCCGCGGCGGUAGGGGAGGAGAGCGGGCACCCGAGUCUCCAUCCUCAGGGUGGCCUGAAGGUUCCAGGAGGGCGUCCGGCGAAGGCACGGGGCUGCGACCAUCCAGUUAGCAGGGCUGGUGUGACUGUUGAGAGUAAAUGAAAAUUCGUUUUGUGACACCGACCACCUCCAAGGAAUGAAAGGAGCAGUCAGCCGAAACGACAGCAUUACUUGCGUCCUUACCUAAUUGGAACCUUAUCCGUGGCUGAGGGUGCCACCAUUGGAGGGGCCGCCGCCCCCUCUGACACCACCUGGCGCUCCGCUCCAUUUAGGAGCUAGAACGAAAAGGAGGCCCAUCCCCCAGUAAGUCACAGCCCACGCCAAGAUGAGUUCUGGAGCCUGUGCGACCGAAGUUUCUUCACCGCAGGGCGAGGUGGACAAGGGUGUGAGUUACUUUGACUUCAAGACGUCUCAGUGGCGGCUGGUUCUGGAGAGAGGCUUUAUGCUGGAGCACUUCCAGCAAAGUUCGGCUGGGGCCUCCUUAACUCACUGGCUGGUCACCCUUGGCCUCGGUUUUCAACCAAAGCCUAAGGCCUCAGUUUUCAACGCUGUAAAUGGAAAUAAAUGAGAGAAGAAAGUACAGCCCGUGUGACAAGUGCAGCAAGCAAUGCAACUUCCUUGGGACCUACCCUUUGUGGUCCCUUGCUUUAAAAGUAUAGAUUCACAUUUAGUUAGACCUGUUUCUUCCUCGCAUGCAAUUUCACCAGUCUUUUCCCAGACUUCUGUACUCAACAGAGGAAGUUCCUUCCUGGGAGACCAUAGCUGUUUGUAUGUAAAGAGUUGCGAAAAAACAAAAGCAAAACAAAAAACUCCAACACCUCUCUGUCACAGAAGUAUUGAAUUAUAUAGACUGGAAAAAUGGAAGUAUCCAAGAAAACGCGUGUGGUAAGAAAAUGGCUAAGGUGCAGGAUUCUGUUUUGUGGCUCUGGUCUCAGAAAUAGACCUCACAUACACAUUAUUCCUUAUCCCCUCUAUUAUAAUACUCACUUUUUUUUUUUUUUAAGAGACAGGGUAGGCCGGGUGCAGUGGCUCAUGCCUGUAAUCCCAGCAUUUUGGGAGGCCAAGGCAGGAGGAUCACCUGAGGUCGGGAGUUUGUGACCAGCCUGACCAACAUGGAGAAACUCCAUCUCUACUAAAAAUACAAAAUUAGCCAGGUUUGGUGGCGCAUGCCUCUAAUCCCAGCUACUUGGGAGGCUGAGGCAGGAGAAUUGCUUGAACCCAGGAGGCGCAGGUUGUGGUGAGCCGAGAUUGUGCCAUUGCACUCCAGCCUGGGCAACAAGAGCGAAACUCUGUCUCAAAAAAAAAAAAAAAAAAAAAAGAGAGGGUCUUGCUCUGUCACUCAGGUUGUGCUAUCAUAGCUUACUGUAACCUUGAACUCCUGGCCUUAAGCGAUCCUCCUGCUUCAACCUCCCAAGUAGCUGGGACUACAGGCCUGUGACAGUGCCUGGCCCAGGCACUGACUUUCUUAUGUCAUAUAGCAAUGACCACUAAGGGAAAGUCUAUACAAACUAUAGAAUAGUUGUCAUUCUUUACCCAACCCGGGACACAAGUUAAAAACCUAGUAUUCAUUUUUUUUUUCCUGUACCAAAACAAUCAUCUUCCUUUAUUUUUCCUGGAGCGGGAAGAGGAGAGUGGAGAAGAAGGGAAGAAUGCAAAGUGUCACUUUGAACUUCUCGUUCACCACACACGUGGGAGUCCACUCAUGUCAGCAGCCUCCGUGCACAGGCCCCAGGUGAAAGAAAGAAUGAGGUCUAGUUGGACCAGCUAACACUGCCUGCCUUGUGUUUACGAAAGGCAGCUGCCUCUGUGGUGUGAUUUCAGGGGAGCCAGACAGGGCCGGGGCCACGAACCUGCAUCCUGCAUCCUAAGCACCUAUUGCCAUGCGUGAGGCUAACUGGAAACUCACUUGCUGGGUGCAGAUAGCUUCCAAACUAUUGUGAUGCUCAUGCUUGACUUCCCAAGGAACGUGUUUCAGGAAAGGCCAUUGCCCUCAUUAUGGUCUUUGAUAAGCAGGAAGAAGUUUGUUGUUCCUUUUUUUUCUUAAUGCCCUACUUCGUGCAACAUACAUCCAAUCAGUCAUAUCCUAUUGACGCUACCCCUAAAUAUCUCUGGGCCUGGCCCGUGCUCAGGGCACUGCCUUCAUUCAGUUACUGCACUUGCCUGCUGCCUGUGCUCCUGGUCUCCUGCUUGGACUCCCCCAGGCCAGCAGCCACACUACUGCCAAAAUCCAGUCGAAAAUUAACUUCAGGUAAAGCACAAUUCCAAACCUAACACUGCCCCCCUCAAAAGCCUCUCUGUAGCCUUCAGAAUAAAGACCAUAUUAUUUGACAAGACACAUAAAGUCCAUUGUAAUCUGGCACCAAACGACCUUUCCAGCCUCAUCUCCUGCCAUUGUGUCCCACAAGCCCUACAUCCCUCCCUUGCCAAACCAGCCUCCGCUCCUUUUUGUCAAACAACAGAGCUGUCCUCUUGUUCAUUGUUUUAUCUUUAGCAUGGUGCCCAGCACACAGGCACUGAAAUACUUGUGAAUUAAUAAUUACUUGCUCUUUUCAUCAGGCUCUCAUAAAAUAUUUUAGACUUGAUCAGAGCCUUGUUUUAUAUUUUAAUAGCUUUUUAAUAUAAAUGUAAUUAAUGUUUCUUGUACAGAAUUUGGAAGAUGCAAGAAUGGUGAGAGAAGAACAUAAGCCACCUGACAUCUCACUAGUCAGGAAUAGACCUGUGGAUAUUUUUAUGUAUUUCCUUCUAGUGAUCUUUCUAAGGGACCGUUUCCAAUCCGCAUCUCCUCUGUCUGUGUGUAGGAUUUAAGAAUGCUGACUGUGCAGGCUGCUCUCCACGAUGCCCAUGUGACAGCCUGCUGUCCUAUUCUAGUUCUUGGCCGGUUCCUCGUCUGCUGCCAGCCCCCUAAAUUAUGGUGUUUCCAGGCAUUCUAUCCUCAACCCUCUUAUUUUCUCAUUCUACAUGCUUUAUCUUUGGGUGUUCUCCUCCACGCCCAGGGCUUCAGAUAUCACUAUUUGCUGAUGACUCCAAAAUCUGUAACUUCUGAGCUCUGACCACAUUAACUCCUACACAUGUCUCAGGUGCAACAAAUUAUACAUGUCCCAAGUCAGAGAGAACAUCUUUUCCACAGCCUUGCACUGUUCACUUCAUUGAUUAGCUGGGAAACUGGGAGGACUCACAGACUGCCCCCUUUCCUGAGUCCUGGGGCCUCCCUGAAGCAUGGGUGUUGCUUGCAAUUUUCCAGGCCCCUAAACUCAUAAAACAUAGACAGAAUGAAUUUCUGUUCUUAGGCCCUUGAUGACAUGUCACUGCAAACCAAAAAUGUACAAAUGAACCAAAACAGCCACAUGGUACUGAUAUACACAGUCAAGAAGUAUCUUAGCCCUUUGAUGAGAUGCAUAUAGUAAUAAAUCUCUGUGGAAACUCCAGCCUUUUUGGAAGCCUGGGUAAGAAAGUAGGCUCAGUGGCUCACGCCUGUAAUCCCAGCACUUUGGGAGGCCGAAGCGGGUGGAUCAUGAGGUCAGGAGAUCGAGAACAUCCUGGCUAACACGGUGAAAACCCGUCUCUACUAAAAAUACAAAAAUUAGCCGGGCGUGGUGGUGGGCGCCUGUAGUCCCAGCUACUCGGGAAGCUGAGGCAGGAGAACGACAUGAACCCGGGAGGUGGAGCUUGCAGUGAGCCGAGAUCACACCACUGCACUCCAGCCUGGGCGACAGAGCCAGAGCGAGACUCCAUCUCAAAAAAAAAAAAAAAAAAAAAGAGUAACCUUUGUCAUACUGAGGAAAUCUGACCAAACACUUCAGUCUAACGUGAAAAAAGUUGAAGGGUCUUUUAUAGUGAAACUAGAGUCAUCUCCUGGAUGAAGCAUGUUUGUAUUUCACCUGUGGGAUGGAAUAUCCUAAAAGAUCUGCCUGGCUGCCUCAGGACUCAUUUCUUUUCAGGGGAGUCGGGUGCAGACAAUAUUACUUGAGCACAAUAGUGCCGGAUCUCUCCUUGAGUGGAUCUUAACUAAGGAAGAAAUGUAAAGACACAUUCAAAGUUGACCCCUUUCAAAUGGGUUUUUAACUUAGUUUCCUAAAAUUGAAACAAAGUUUCAUAAAAUGAUCAUUCAAAUAAAAUCUGUUGAGUGCUCAGGAACAUUUCCCAGCACUAGGGAUACAGCAGUGAACCAAAUGAAUGAAAGUGCCAGCCUUCUAAGACGUUUUCUUACAGUCUUGUAGGUUGACAUGUUGAUUUCCACUGUGGCAUCCCAGUAAUGGCACCGACAUCAUCUCCACCUGUAAUCACAGCCUUCAGAACUGUACAUGCAACUUAGGAAUGUGUAACAUGAAGGCAUAUAAAUGAAAACCUAAGUAUUUAUAGCUAUGAUUUAAUCAGGAGCCCCAGGUCUGCAAGCAGAUGCUCAGUUUUCUCCCCAGAAUCACUGGGACCACUUCUGUCUUGGCCACUGGAGCUCCCCUCCAAGGUGCUGCAAUUCAGGAGGUUAGAAAGUCAUGGAAAACGAGGGUUCCACCCUUGCCAGAACAGUUGCCAAUACAAAAGCCACAGAUUAACAGUCCUGAGUUGCAAAGAACAUUAUUGUGAAGUCCAAGUUGAAUAAACACACAGCCAAGUUAAAUUUUUUGCGGCAAUAGAACAGCAAUGGGAUUGAAAAAACCAUCAGUCAAAGUUCAAAGGUCAUUGGCCUCAAGUUGAAAAAUUCUUGAGCAUGUUUGACUGUUACUUUAUGUAAUGGUUCCUUCCAUUUUACAAGAAACUAGGAAGUGGGGGUCAUUUUGUUGCAACUAUUUUCUGAAAAUCAUGAGUUUACAUUGAGUAAUACAUUGCUCAGUUUUGGGUGAUACUCAUUCUGCCCUGUUCUGAAGGGAAAACACAUUCUCUAAAAUUGCCUGGAUUUCUGUGUGUGUCUGUGUGUGUGUGUGUGUGUGUGUGUCUAUGUCUGUGUGUGUGUGCAUCUCUGUGUGUUUGUGUGUCUGUGUGUGUGCGUGUGUGUGUGCGUGCGUGCGUGUGUUUUUCCUUUCCCAAAGGAAGGCUUUCAACUUUGAAAACUUCAUGAAGUGUUUUUUGGCAUAAUUUCCCAAAUGGCUGUGGAAUAUGUGAAAUAUUCCUUAUUUCUCUAUGGUGACAAACUAUAAAGUAGUCCUUUUACCUUUAAAGACAGAGGGACAUGGUGUCUAUAGCUUUGCCUUGACGUUCUGCAGAGCAAUUACUAUAAUAGUUUCAGGUAUUGAAGAUAUUUUAAAGAAUAAAUUUCAAAUUUGUAACCUAAAUUUAGGAGACUACUUGGUUCACUGGUCAUCUGUAUAUUUGAAGAAAUUUUUAAUAUUGUUAUAUUUGUUUUCUUAUUUUAAAAUAUUUAAUUGUCAGCCAGGCAUGGUGGCUCAUUCCUGUAAUCUCAGAGCUUUGGAAGGUCAAGGCAGGAGGAUCACUUGAGGACAGGAUUUCAAAACCAGCCUGGGAAAUAUAGCGAGACUGUCUACACACACACACACAAAAAAAAAAAAAAAAUUAAGAGGGUGUGGUAGCGUGCACCUAUAGUCCUAGCUACUUGAAAGGCUGAGGCAGGAGGUUCCCUUGAGACCAGGUGUUCAAGUCUGCAGUGAGCUAUAAUCAUGCCACUGAACUCCAGACUGGGUGACAGAAGGAGGCCCUAUCUGUAAAUAAAUAAAUAAAGAAAUUUAUUUAAAGUAAGUAAAAAUAAAAUAUGUAAUUGUCAAAUAAAGAUUGAACAUAUUCAAAGUAAACAACAUGAUUAUUUGAUACACAUAUAUUGUGUAACAAUUACCACAAAUGAAUUAAAACAUCCGCCACUCGCCCUGCUAUGAUCAGCUCCCACAACAUAUUGAUAUUAUACAUAACUAAACGUUUUGUAUCUUUUGACUAACAUCUCUCCAUUCCACUUCCAGUCACUGGCAACCACCAUUUUACUUUCUGCUUCUCUGAGUUUAACAUUUAUAGAUUCCACAUGUAAGUGAAACCACACAAUAUUUGUCUUUCUGUGUCUGGCUUAUUUUACUUAGCAUAAUGUCUCCCAAGUUCAUCCAUGUUGCCAAUGAGAUAGGAUUUCUUUCUCUUUUUAUGGUUGAAUAAUAUUCCAUUGUAUAUAUGAACCACAGUUUCUUUAUCUGUUCAUCUAUUGGUGGACACUUGGGCUGUUUCCACGUCUUGGCUAUUGGAAAUAACGCCGCAGUGAAUAUAAGGGAGCAGACAUCUCCUCAGGAUAUUGAUUUUAUUUCCUUUUGAUAUGUACCCAGAAGUGGGAUUGCUGGAUCGCAUGGUGGUUCCAUUUGGUAGUCUCAUUCUAAUGGUAAUUCCAUUUUAAUUUUUGGAGGCACCUCCAUACUGUUUUCCAUAAUGGCUGCAACAGUCUAUAUUCCCACCAAGUGUGCAAAGGUUCCCUUUUAUAGCCCUUCUAACAGGAGGGAGAUAUAUCUCAUUGUGAUUUUGAUUUGCAUUUCUCUGAUGAUUCAUGAUGUCGAGCACUUUUGCAUACACCUGUUGGCCAUUUGUAUGUCUUGUAUGGAAAAUGUCUAUUCAGGUUCUUUGCUCAUUUGCUGCAACUUUCACCAUUUCUCUGUAAGCCUUUGGUCUCAGCGUAUGAAGCAUGAUGAUGUUCAGUGUGUUCUCUUCCUUCCCAAACUUCAUAGCAUUCUGAAUAAUACACCUUUAUUCUAUUUGAAAAUGUUUGGAAAUUCGCCAGUCAGAAAGACAGCAGAGUGUCAUAAAACAAAGGAUUGAGAACAUUUAGAAAUGUUCUCACUUCCUUAAAAAACUUUAUCUCUGCUAAAUACCAAAUGUGCAUGGCAAUUCACGUACACAGCUCUUGGCGCAUUCUCCUUAACCUUUGAUGCAUCUUGGCGUCAUUUACCCUCCAUGUUUAUUGAGCACUGGGAUGCUCCAGGCACUCUGAGAGCUGCUGUGAAGAAAGCAAGAGCCAGACAAGACCCCUGCGCCCAUGCCCCUGAUGCUCUAGUGAAGGUGAAGGCAACAGACAAAUAAACAAGCAAACCAACACAAUAGUCACAGGUUUGUCUCAGUGCUCUGAAGGAAAUCAACAGGCGCUUUGGUAGAAAAUGCUGUGUCAACUAGGUGGUCAAGAAGCUUGCUCUGAGGAAAUGAGAUUUAAGCCAAGACGUGAAGAAUGAUGUAGUCCUGUAUUAGUUUGUCAAGGCUGCCAUAAGAAAGUCCCACAACUGAGUGGCCUAAAUAACCAAAAUUUAUUGUCUUAUAGUUAUGGAGGCUGGAAGUCUGAGAACAAGGCAUCUACAGAGUUGGUUCCUUCUCAAGGCUGUGGGGGAGACUUCCACACCUCCUGGCUUCUGGUGGUUUGCCAGCAUGCUUGGGCAUUCUUUGGCUUGUAAAUGCAUCACCCCAAUCUCUGUCUUGAUGGUUAUGUGGUGUUCUCCCUGCACAUGUGUCUGUGUCCACAUUUCCUUUUUUUUUUUUUUUUUUUUUUUUUUUUGAGACUGAAUCUUGCUCUGUCGCCCAGGCUGGAAUGCAGUGGCCCGAUCUUGGCUCACUGCAAGCUCUGCCUCCCAGGUUCACGCCAUUCUCCUGCCUCAGCCUCCCAAGUAGCUGGGACUACAGGAGCCCGCCACCACGUCCAGCUAAUUUUUUCUAUUUUUAGUAGAGACGGGGUUUCACCGUGUUAGCAAGGAUGGUCUCGAUCCCCUGACCUCAUGAUCCCUCCACCUCGGCCUCCCAGAGUGCCAGAAUUAUAGGCGUGAGCCACCGCGCCCGGCCCACAUUUCCUUUUUUGAUAAGGACACUUAUAUUGAUCGUAUUGGAUAAGGAGCCCACCCUAUUCCCAUAGGACCUCAUUUUAACUAAUUAUAUCUCCAACUAACCUAUGUCCAAAUAAGACCAUGUUCUGAGGUACUGGGAGUUGGGACUUCAGCAUAUGAAUUUGCAGGAGGAGAACACAAUUCGACCCUCCACAGGUACCAACUUCACCGAAGCAGAGGAAAGAGUGGGGCCAGAGGUCUGGGAAGCAAGAGGGUCUGGCAAUAUUCUGGGAACAGACAGGAAAUGACUGAUUUCAGAGUUGUGUGACAGAAAGAGGACAGGGAUGUGGUGAACAGGUGGGAGACACCAGAAUAAGGGGUUUGCAUUUUAUUUUAAGAGCAAUAGGAAGACUUUAAAGGGUUCUAAAUAAGAUCGACUUGUGGUUUUAAAAACUGACACUAUACAUUUCCCAGUUGUCUCUGCAACAUCAAUGAAAUGCAAGAAUUUCUUCAGUUGUUGAUUUUUUUAAAAGUUUUUUAGAGUCAGGGUCUUUCCCUGUCACCCAGGCUGGAGUGCAAUGGCACAAUCACAGCUCACUGCAGCCUUUAACUUCUGGGUUCAAGCAAUCCUCCUGCCUCAACCACCUGAGUAGAUGGAACCAGAGGUGUGCACCACCAUGCCUGGAUAAUUUUCUUAUUUUUUGUAGGGACAGAGUCUCACUAUGUUGUCCAGGCUGGUUUCAGACUUCUGGCCUUAAAUGAUCCUCCUACCUCAGCCUCCCAAGAUGUUGGGAUUACAGGUGUGAGCCACUGCACCUGCCAAGUCGUUGAUUUCUUAGAGGAAUUUUCAACUGUUCUUUAUUGCCCUCUCAGUCUAUUGCAUGACACAUUUGUAACACUCUAAAACAAUUCAGUCUUUUUAAUUCUAUUUUUGAAUUCCUAAGUCAAAAUAUUUAUUCCCCUUUAACUUUCUCUCCAAUUUCCAUUUCCACAAAUAAAUAAAAUUAAUUAAUGUUCUUUUACCAAACACGCCCACACAAAUACACAACAACUUUAAAAAGAAAAAAAAAAAACAAGCUAGGCCAGGCCAGGUGUGUGUGAUGGUUCGCGUGUAUAAUCCCAGCACUUGGGAGGCCAAGGCAAGAGGAUUGCUUGAGACCAGGAGUUCGAGACCAGCCUGAGCAACACAGAUAGACCCCGUCUCUACAAAAAAAUUACAAAAAUCAGCUGGGCGUGGUGGCUCGAGCCUGUGGUCUCAGCUACAUGGGAGGCUUAGAUGGGAGGAUUUAUUGAGCCCAGGAGUUCAAAGCUGCAGUGAGCCGUGACCAUGUCCCCAAAAUGCCAGGGGUUCAGUCUAGGUCCCGCUGCUCACCUCACAGAAAGCCAAUCACCAAUCACUAAGCAACAAUUAUUGCCAAGGAAGAAGGCUUUCAUCGGGUGUUGCAGCCAAGGAGAUGGGAGAUCAGUCUUAAAUCCAUCUCCCUGGCCACUAAAAUUAGGGGUUUAUGUAGCAGGGAAGAUGUGUAAUAAUGUGUAAGAAAGCAGGAACUAGGGAGGGGCAAGGAAGCAAUCAUGAUGAAUGAGGGCCUGGCAUCUCAUUGUCUGGAUAUGAUUAGCUGGUAAGUUUCAGUUCUUAGGUACUUUUUGCCAGACCUGGAGGUCCUUUCCUGAGGAAGAAGCUCAGAUAAAACAAAUGUAAAUUUCAAGCUUUAAGACCAGAAGGAUCAAUUGAUACGGUUUUCCAAGAAAAAAACUGUCUAUGGAACUAUUGGGUCGGUUUCAGUGGUGUCACAGUACUCUAGCCUGGGCAACAGAGCAAGACCUUGUCUCAAAAAAAAGAAGAAGAAGUAUAUUCAACUGUGGAUUUCAGGCACACACUAUUUUCCUCAUUCCAUCUUGAAUGAACAGUAAUAAUUUUCAGAGAUUGUGUCACCACAAAACCAACAUUCAUUUCAAACUUGUAAUGGUUUCA
rnacentral:lncRNA from 1 species